AUGGAUCGCGAGGGCUUCUAUUUUAUCAAUGUUCAAUUUGUAACCGGAUACCGUUGUGUAGUCUUGUAUGGCCAGGAGGAGUGGGGGCAUGGAGUUAAUUGGGUCUGUGAUGGUGAGUAGUAUAUCGUCUGCAUAGACCGCAGCCUUAUAUUCCUCUGUCCGGAUUUUGAGCCCUGUGAGUGAGUUGUGUUGCCUGAGCGUUUGCAGGAGGGACUCCAGUCUGUUUAUU